ACCUGGUUGACCGGGAUUUCCAGGUCUACCACUGCUGCCAUCUGAACCGUGUGGCCCUGGGGGGCCCCUCUCUCCUUUAGUACCAGUGAAACCCAAGGACCCUGAGGGUGCAACAGAAAGCAACACUGAAAGGAGCAGAGUACCAAGGCAUCCAGAAUCUCCAGGAUCCCCAUUCAUCACCACAUUUGUCUGAAUUCCUUUUGCUCCGGUUUCUCCUCUGUCUCCCUGUGGACCCCGAGGCCCUUGAGGACCCCUGGAUCCACCUUCACCAUUCUGACCUGAAAGACAGACAGGUCCAGCAGCUCCAGGUAAACAGGGUCCAACAGAACCAACAGGACCGGGAACACCACCCAGACCACUAUGACCUGAGGGAUACUUCCGUUAACUUCCAUGUUUUCAAACUUGUGUAGUUUUGCCUAUUUCAAUCGAACUCAGUUUAGGAUUUCCACUCAGAUCAACACACUUCAGAGGAACUUCCGGGCUCAAACAAAUUUUAGAGAGGUUUGUUAGUACUGCAAGGAAUAAUCUGCAGGUUUGAGAUAAACAGGCUCCUGUAGCCAUAUGUGCUUUGCAUGCUGGGAUGUGGAUGAGGAGUGAGCAGCUGGUCAGAGAAUAAAUCGAGGUCUAAACUGGA